rnacentral:rRNA from 1 species
GAUGAACGCUGGCGGCGUGCCUAAUACAUGCAAGUCGAGCGAACGGACGAGAAGCUUGCUUCUCUGAUGUUAGCGGCGGACGGGUGAGUAACACGUGGAUAACCUACCUAUAAGACUGGGAUAACUUCGGGAAACCGUAGCUAAUACCGGAUAAUAUUUUGAACCGCAUGGUUCAAAAGUGAGAGACGGUCUUGCUGUCACUUAUAGAUGGAUCCGCGCUGCAUUAGCUAGUUGGUAAGGUAACGGCUUACCAAGGCAACGAUGCAUAGCCGACCUGAGAGGGUGAUCGGCCACACUGGAACUGAGACACGGUCCAGACUCCUACGGGAGGCAGCAGUAGGGAAUCUUCCGCAAUGGGCGAAAGCCUGACGGAGCAACGCCGCGUGAGUGAUGAAGGUCUUCGGAUCGUAAAACUCUGUUAUUAGGGAAGAUCAUAUGUGUAAGUAACUGUGCACAUCUUGACGGUACCUAAUCAGAAAGCCACGGCUAACUACGUG